rnacentral:misc_RNA from 1 species
GAUGAAGAACGUAGCGAAAUGCGAUAAGUAGUGUGAAUUGCAGAAUUCAGUGAAUCAUCGAAUCUUUGAACGCACAUUGCGCCCGCCAGUAUUCUGGCGGGCAUGCCUGUCCGAGCGUCAUUUCAACCAUCAAGCCCCGGGCUUGUGUUGGGGACCUGCGUCCGACGCAGGCCCUGAAAACCAGUGGCGGGCUCGCUGUCCACACCGAGCGUAGUAACUAACCUCGCUAUGGAGUGGCGCGGGCGCCUGCCGUAAAACCCCCAAUUUCACAAGGUUGACCUCGGAUCAGGUAGGAAUACCCGCUGAACUUAAGCAUAUCAAUAAGCGGAGGA